AAUAUUCAAGUAAUUGAAUCUGUUAUCUUACUGAUCUUGAAGUGUAAGAUAAAUUGGUAUUCUUUUUAUUUCUAUGAACAUUUUAACAUGUCUUUACACAUAUCUGAGCUUGGGUAUACGGGGAAACCCAACCCCUUGGGAGGAUGGAAGACAUGGCUAAUUUGAGAGGA
rnacentral:ribozyme from 1 species